AAAUGCGAUAAGUAAUGUGAAUUGCAGAAUUCAGUGAAUCAUCGAAUCUUUGAACGCACAUUGCGCCCGCCAGCACUCUGGCGGGCAUGCCUGUUCGAGCGUCAUUUCAACCCUCAGAACCCCUUGCGGGAUCUGGCGUUGGGGAUUGGCAUCCAGCCAGCCCCGAAAUCUAGUGGCGGUCCCUCCGCGACCUCCCCUGUGCAGUAGCGAUACCUCGCAGCGGGACAGCGGUCUGACCACGACGUAAAACCCCCAACUUCUCAAGGUUGACCUCGAAUCAGGUAGGAAUACCCGCUGAACUUAAGC
rnacentral:misc_RNA from 1 species